UACAGAGGUGGCAAGCGUUGUUCGGAUUUACUGGGCGUAAAGGGCGCGUAGGCGGCGCAACAAGUCACUUGUGAAAUCUCCGGGCUUAACCCGGAGCGGCCAAGUGAUACUGUCGUGCUAGAGUGCGGAAGGGGCUACUGGAAUUCUCGGUGUAGCGGUGAAAUGCGUAGAUAUCGAGAGGAACACCUGCGGCGAAGGCGGGUAGCUGGGCCGACACUGACGCUGAUGCGCGAAAGCCAGGGGAGCGAACGGG
rnacentral:rRNA from 1 species